UACGUAGGGGGCUAGCGUUGUCCGGAAUCAUUGGGCGUAAAGCGCGCGUAGGUGGCCCAGUAAGUCCGUUCUGAAAGUCACAGGCUCAACCUGUGAAAGCGGAUGGAUACUGCUGGGCUAGAGUCCGGAAGAGGCGAGUGGAAUUCCUGGUGUAGCGGUGGAAUGCGCAGAUAUCAGGAGGAACACCAACGGCGAAGGCAGCUCGCUGGGACGGUACUGACACUGAGGCGCGAAAGCGUGGGGAGCGAACAGG
rnacentral:rRNA from 1 species